CCGGUGGCGCCCCUGGGCCCUCGCUCGUUCGGCCGGGCGCCGGAGCCUGCGACCAGUCCCGGGGCUGGGCGCAGAGGAGGCCCGAAACGCCCCCCACCGGGGGAACUUCUCCGCAGACUUUUGGGGCUCUAAGCACACAGGUCUGCCCUGAGCGGAAGCCUUGUCCCCGCGAGUUCUGCUGCGAGCCAGUAAGGUCUUUGGGACAUCUCAGGUGAGUUCCCCAUUCCCCAAGGAGUUUCCGCUGAUGCCUUCCCAGGGAUCGCGUACCGGGAGGCAGAACUCACCUGGCUGUGGUUCCCCUAGGCCAGGCAGCCUUGCCCACCUGACCACCGGAGAGUGGGCUUGCCUGCCGGUGUGCAGGAUCCUACGAAAAAGGCUUCCCCGAAAGCACUGAGGUGUCCCAGGACCCGGCCUGAUUGAAGGGGCACAUUGAAUUGGGCAAAGGCAUAGGCCUAUUAGCUGCAUUCAACUAGUUUAUAGAACUCACCUAGAGAGGCAGACUGUUCUGAUGAAUCUCCAGACUGACCAGGGAGCAUCUGUGUGAUCUUGGGCAAGUUAUUGUCCUUGAUGAGUAGGCACUCCAUCUGCAAAAUAGUGGUAACUGUGGUUUCUACUCCAUAUGGCUGUUUUGAGGAUGGCAUCGGCUCUUGCCAUGCAGUCAGCUGUGAUAAAUAUUUGCUUUGAAUGAGCCCAGGGCCUGCCACCACGUGGAAGGUAGUCCCUAGAUUGUGUAUACUCUUAAAAAGCACCCAUUGAGCUGGGACUAGUCAGUGAGAAAGUGAGUUGAAUCAUCCUCAACCUCCUGCCUGGAGCAGCCUGAUAUCCAGUAGGUAAUUAUUUGGAGAACCCUGGAGAAUUAUGGAAGUGUUCACACUAAGAACAAGUAAUGAUGAGAGGUGAGGAUGGCUGCAAGAUCUCUUAUUCCUCCCAGGACCUGUUGGUCCCAACUGACUCCACACAGAAUGCAAACCUUCAGCCUGAUUAAUACAGGAGGGGAAACAAAACAAAAUCAAAAAAGGUAGAGAAGGCCUUGAGGUGGGAAAGAAACUGCUUAUCUAAUGCUCAGAUUCCAGGAGCAGUCUCUUUGGUUAUAGUGCUAUGCAUAAUUCACUUGCUUGAGUCUGUGGCUUGGCAGGUAGAGGUGGUGUACCGGGGCAAGAGAGGGUAGGGAGAGGGCAGGAUCUGUAGAGAUGGCUACCUGAGGGCCUUUCCAGUCUCCCUUUUAGGAGUCCUUGGGUUUCAUAACCCACAUGAUUCAUCCUUUCUGCAGGCAUGAGUCACUCUAAUGGAGGUGGGAGAACAGGAGGCGUGGUGGGAGGCCCAACCCGGACAAGCCAUAUCCACGUUCACAAGGGCCCCUUGGAACCUGAGGAUCCAUGUCCCACAUGGCCUUCCCUUUUUUUGCACCAGAUAUACUUUCUCUCCCCUGACCAAGAUGGGGCAGUUCCCUGGGAAAUCACUCCAGAGCUGCCCACACUGCAGAAUACAGGUCCCUUGUGUCACAGCCUGGUUGCUCACUGAACACUGCCCAUUGGAAAGACCCAAGGCCCUAACACAAACUGGCUAGUGCUAGAGGAGAAGGCCACACCUGUUGGGCAGAAACAAUAUUCAGGGACUAGGGUUGUCGAUUAAUGGCAAAGCAUUAAUGCUGGGUUCAAUCUUCUGCACCACAUAAAAAAUAAAUAAAUCAAAUAAAGGUAUUGUGUCUAUCUACAAAGAAAAAAAGAAACAAUACUCAGAACCCUUAGCUUGGCCUAUCUUUACCCAGUGUUCCCCUGACUGCCCAGUCUCUGGCCCACAGAGAAGGGACACUGGACUGAGUCAGAGGUGGAAUUAGAAUCCUUUCUCUGUCAGCAAACCCUCCUGGUGAUAUGUGUCACUAUAGCCCUUAUUGUUCAGCCUGUCUCUUGGACUUAUUCCACUCCCAUGUUGUACUUCUUCAAGUGUGUGGUCUGCUUCAAGAUAUUGCACACUGUGCAUAAUCUAAGUGAUUAUGAAGCAACUCAUGUCUCUCAAGAGAGUACCCCCAUGAGAACAGUGAUUUUGACAGGAUGAGAUAAGAGUUUUUCCAUAAUAAUUUGGUAGAUUAAGGGAUUCAGCCUACUGAACUGAGGAGACUAAAAUGCAUCUGAAAUUUUUAUUUGUAGGGAUCUGAAUUUAUUUUAUCAACAAGUCUGGUCCUUUGGGGGCUAAACUUUCCAUUUGUCAUGGAAGUACCUGGGCCAUAGCUUGGCUCCAAAAUUGGAAGAAGACCAGCUUCCCAAAAUGAACAUCCUAAAUCAAAUUACCUCCUCUGAGUUUCCUAUUGAUUUAUACAGUGACAGGAUUAACUCAAUCAUAGGUGAACCAACCCUUUGCAUUGUGAUAAGAUCUGUAAUAAAACUUGGCUCGUCUUCCUGCAGGGAGGGGAUUUAUUACUCACUUGAGCUCCCACUCUCCAGAUGGCCCUGGCCACCCUGCUCAGUUCUGGGGCCAGGGGAGCCUACUGUUUUCCUGGAUUAAGGUCAGCCAGACUGAGAAGGGACAGACAUGGACCAGAAAGGUGACUGGAGCCUAGCUGUAUCUCAGAAGUUAGAAAAUGUUAAUAGAGAGAUGUGAUACUUAUACAGCAUCUUUCCAAACCAGAAGGUAGGAGUCUUCACCAGGAGUAUUAAAACUGUAUUCUCGUGCCCAUGGCUGACCUUUUACAGAAAUUACAGGAUUGCCCUGCCUGGAUCCAGCAUCACCCAUUCAGCCAAGACCAGUGGAGAGCAAAGAAUCAAAUUCUGUUCCAAAACAACUUGUGGGGUGUUUUGGAACAGAAUUUGAUUCAGAAUUACCUCCACUUAGGCAAUAGACAGUUGACUGACAUAUUGCAGUUUGGAGAAUGUGCUAGGUUCAGCGGCCAGUGUCUGAUAGGCAUCCACCUUUAGGAUAUCAGAGAAGAGCAUGCAUUCAAAACCCAGCUUCACCAUGCUCCUUACUUGUGUUCAACCUCAGGUGAGUUAAGCACUUCUGUGUCCUAUGCUAUAAAUGGCAGUGAUGUUGCUGUCCCUGUGCAGGGGCACUGUGAGGAUAAUAGGAGCUGACUGACCCAGAACUAACCCAGAACUUGGUGCCAGCAAACACUUCAGAAAUGGGAGCAACAGUGACCACUGCCCCAGCUGAGCACCUGGAACUCCCCAGUGGGAUGGAGUGGUUGGGGCUAUGUGCUGUGUCUUUCUGCAUUGCUCACAGGCAUCUCUGUAUACUGACCUCCAUCCAUGCUAAAUCUCUCCACCUUUAACGUCCUGAAGUCCAGAACAUCUUUUAAUUGGUGUUUUGCAUUCACUGCUGAUUGGGAUUCAAAUUGAGUUCUCCAGGGAGGGUUUGUGUUUGCUUCUGCCAGUGAUGUGGUGGCACCAGCUUUUGGGACUCCUUGAGGACCACUUGUAUAUUGAGACCUCAGGCUGAGAACCAGCUUCGGGUUCCAGUGAUAGUGCAGGGAUUUUCUCCCUAAUUCUCUCCUCCUCCACCAGGGUGAAGGAGGAGGCCAGACCGUUCCUUGUCAUUUCUUUCUUUAUAGUGGGUUUAUUUCUCAUUUUCUUCUACACUGAGAGUGUAGCUUUUCAUGGUCCCAGCUUUAUUGAGGGGUCUCCUGUGACACUUCCUAUUCUUAGACAUUUUUUUUUUCUUUCUUAGUGAUGCAUUAAAUAAUGAUGUACUUUCCAAUCAAGAGUAUCUCAAAUUUGAUGUCAUAGUAUCAAUGCCUUCAAAACAUAUCACAAUAAAGAUAACUAUUGAACUCUCUCAAAUGUAUUUGCCUUUUUAAUUUUAACCCCUUGUGGCAUCUAUUAACAUCCUACAGGGCUGGGGAUGUGGCUCAAGCGGUAGCGCGCUUGCCUGGCAUGCGUGCGGCCCAGGUUCGAUCCUCAGCACCACAUACAAACAAAGAUGUUGUGUCCGCCGAAAAUUAAAAAUAAAUAAAUAUAUUAAAAAAAAAAAAGAACUAAAAAAAAAAAAAACAUCCUACAGAAAAGAUACAAGGACUACCCCGAACUCCCUUCGGGGGGUAGAUGUGACCAUCCGGGUGGGGUGCAGAUGGCAUGGAGCAGCUUUCACCCCACUCUCUGCUUCUCUGGUUAGAGUCUCCCUUUAUAUUUAGAUCCUAAGAAAAUUGUCUUAAGAAAGAGGCUGUAAAAACUGCUUUUUCCUGUGAAACAGUUAUCCUGGAUCUAGCAAUCAUGUUUCUCAGCAUUCUUUUCAUAAACUCCCAUGUAGAAAUUUAGUGUCAAACAGGGAAUUUAGGAGCAAAACGCUGAAACUCCCUGAGGAGCUCUUCCUCAUUAAGAAUGAGAGCUUUUCAAUUUAUCUGAUUUCCUUUUUUGCCUUGACUUCCAGGAUGCUCUGGGCCACAGAUGACAGAAAAGCACAACUGUUUAUUUCCUCCCUCUUGUAACAGCUGAGAUGCCUUUGGUCACAAAAUACUAGAAUGCCCAACUAAAAGGAACACAAACAACAAAUACAAUUCAUUGUUCCACAAACAGGAAUCUGGUGGUAGGUGGCUCUAGAGUUGUUAAUUCAGCAGUUCCAGAGAUCCCAGGACUCAAGAUGGCUCUUAUUCACUUUGCCAAGCUUUCUCCUUCGGUUCCUAGAUGACCUCUGCAAAUUAAAGCAUCAUGUCCUCUCUAGACAGCCCCAAAGGAAGAAAGGGAGGAAGCGGCUGCUCGGACCUUCCCCACUUCCCCCUAUCUCUUGAACAUCUCUCAUCUCCCUAGCAAAGAGACACCCAGAACCCCCAACCAUUUCCUCUCAGGCUCCACUGACCAAAACUGGGUCCUAGAUCCUCGCUCUGCAGCCAAGUAAUGAUUGACAGUGGGCACAGGGUUACCCAGGUUGCUUCGGAUCCGUUUUGCUUUUUCCCUGGGGAAACAUUCCCCUGAGCACGUUUGCUGCCCACAAUGGCACAAACCCAGGAUUCUGUUAGUAGGAGGCAGCUCCAGGCAGGCUGCUGGGGGUCCCCAGUGGGUCUGCCGCCUCCCCUUCUCUGCUUCCGUUGUAUCACUUUCAUAUAGAUCCUGAUAGGCACACCGCAGACUUCCAUCAAAUAUUUACUGAAAGAAAGGAAGGGAGAGAAGAGGGCAGUAUGGGGGUGCAGAAGAACAAAGGAAGGAGGUGAUAAAAAAGGGGGGGGGAGAGGAGGAAGUCUCAAGUAUUGUUUGGAAUGGAUACAUUCAAUAAUCAACAACAACAACACAAACCAGCCUCAAGCAGCUGCCGCUCUGACGGUCCCCACUUCCCCCAGCCUCCUGCCAAGCUGAGCCGGGAUUCAGGUUGCACUUCACUCCAGCCCAGCAGUAGAAGAUGCCUCUCUCUCCAGUGAGAAGACGUCCAGCGACUUCAGGAUGGGUUUUGAGUUUGUCGUCUUAAGUGCUUUUCUCUAAGGGAGAAUCAUUUAGAACUUGAGCUCCCUCCCUAGUCGGGGCAAGUGGGGUGAGGCAGAAGAAGAGGCUGGGAGUGGGGGAUUCACAAUCAGAAGCAGGAGCCAGAAACACUCCUUCCUACAAAAGAAUGGUUUUGACAAGCUGGAUGGACAGCCAAGGGGAAGAGCUCAUCGCAGAGGAACUGCCAAGAUGCAGCGUUUAAGGACGUGGCUGGGCGGGUGGGCUUGGCAGCCCCUGCUCCAGGGCUAGUUCCUGCAGAUCCCAUAGCGCCCCUCUCUCCCUUCGGAGACAAAGGCCAGAAGGCCUGAGCACCUCGUGCUUCAUCUCCUGCCCUGUCUCUCUCCAAAGCUGCCCUUGCCUUGGUGACCCUGGUCCUCACCUGACUUCCAGCACCCUUCUCUGCCCUGUCCCCACUCUCCCGGUUCUCCUCCUACCUCAGCUGCCACCCCUCCUCAGGUCCAUGGCUGUCCCUGGCUGCCCCAAGCCCCAGUUCUCGGGCUUCUCUUUCCUCUUGAUCUUGCUCUACUGAUGACCUCAGCUGUUCUCAGGGAGAACACGAACCUGUUACGUGUGGGUGGCUCCCAGGUGCUUCAUGGUUCAGAUCUCACUCCGGAACUCCGCACGGCCAGCAUCUCUACUGGGCUGUCUAAGACACGUCACAAACACGGAGCGCCUGUCCCCCCCCCAAGCCCCCCCACUAUGGUUUGGAUGUGUCCCCCAAAAGGGUCAGGGUUGAAAUUGAAUCCCCAUUGUGUCGUGUUAAGAGGGCGGAAACUUAAUGUGACUCUGGUGCUUAGAGGUGGGGCCUUUGGGAGGCUAUUAGGAUUAGGGAAGGUCACCAGGGUGGAGCCCCCAGGAUGGAAUCCUGCUGACUUUUUAAGAAGAGGAAAACAGACACACCUGUGUGCUCCCUCCUUCUCACCAUGGGAUGCCCUGUGCCAGCUUGGGAUUAUGCCAACACAAAGACCAUCGCCUGAUGUGGCCUCUUGACCUUGCACCUCCAGAACCAUCAGCCAAAACAAACCUCUUUUCUUCAUAAAGUCACCAAGCCUUGAGUGUUUUAUUAUAGUAAAGCAAGACAGGAUAAUAGUCAUCCUUUGUCCUGACCCAGUUUUUCCCAUCCCAGUAAAUGCUGUUUCUAUCUUUCUAUUUUUCAGGCCAAAGGUCCUUUUUGAUGCUGCCCCCUUUACCCAUGUCUGUGCUCUCAGUGAAUCCAGUUGUUUCUACAUUCAAAAUCCAUUCAUUAUACAAAGUACAUGUAUGAAGACUUGAAUUGGGUGUCAACACACCUUAUACACAGAGAUAUGAAAAAUUGUGGUAUAGAUGUGAAUUAAGAAUUGUAAUGCAAAAAAGUACAUGUAUAAUGACAUAAAUUGACAUGAACAUACUUUAUAUACAGACAUAUGAAAAAUUGUGCUCUAUAUGUGUAAUAAGGACAGUAAUGCAUUCCACUGUUGUUUGUAUUUUUUUAAAAAAUCAAUAAAAAAGAAAAAAAAAAAGAAAAAAAUUCCUUCAGAGUCUGACUACUUCUCCUCAUGCCCGUGUACCACCCUGGGCCAAGUCACCUCACCUGUCACUUAGUGCAACUUAAUAGCCUCCUAAUUGGUGUUCCUAUUCUGCCUUGCCCUCUUUAAUCAAUCCUCAACACACAGGAUCAUGUGCAACAGAAGUCAGAUCAGGUACUUCCUUGGCCCAAAAUUUCUUCCACAGCUUCUAGUCUCAUACAGAGAAAAAUCCCAUUCCUUACAUGGCUCCAAAGUUCCCACCUGGUGUAUGUCCCCCCCACCACACACCAUGCACACACAAUGGAGCCUGUCAGAUGCUAGAAGAGAAUUGAGCUGGAUGCUCAAGGCUUCCUGGAGGAAGUGACUUUUAAGCUGAGCUUGAAGAAAUAAACAGGAAAUCGCUAGAUAAGUGGUCCAUCAGUCAGGUCCAAGUAGGAAAACAGAAGUCACACUUAAAUAUUUAUGGUGGGGGAAAUCGAUGACUCAAGCAACCCAAGAAUAGCCUAGUCUCUCUCACUCCUGAUUGGAGAUGAUCAGGCAGAGUGCCCAGGAGCGGUACCAGCAUGUGCAAAGGCCCUGAGGCAGGAGGAAACUUGGUGUGGUGGAAGGACUAGAGGGGAGGCAGAGGGCCGGGGCAUUGAAAAUGAAGGGAGGCUGGUGGGACUGGGGACAAGAGGAGUUGUCAGAGGACAGGCUGUUACAGCUUUGUUAGCCUUGGCAAGAAUUUGGACUCCAUCCUGAGAGGAAUGGAAAGCAGAGAAGGGACUCUCACCUGCCCCAACCAGGCAGGCCUUUGUGACUCUCACACCUGUGUCUGCAGGCCUACUUUGUUUUGAAGGUCACACGUUGGCUCCCCCAUAUACAGUAUCCUUACACAAUAUCUGCUCUCUCUGGCCCCUCAAGCCCAGAGCGGCCUGUGUCGACCUCCUCACCCCACCCGUCCUGGACCCCGGCCUCCAGGGUGCCCUGAGCAUUCGGAGGUGUCACCCACUCUGGGACCUGCAUGGUCUCUGCCCACUCUGCCUCUCCUGCCAGUCCCCUGCUGGCCUAGCCGGGUCCCCCUCAGGCACACCCAGCUCUGAUAACUUCCCAGAUGGCCUCUGGCUCCAGCCACUGCCCCUCCACCACGGUCCCAGCUGUCCCAGAGCCUUGUCUCCAGGAAGUCCCAUGAGCCUACUUGGACCCUGUGGAACCUUCCCAGCCAGCAGGGUGGAGGCCAAACCCGGGGCCCGGCCCACAGGGAGCUGACACUGUCUUUCUUGCUCUUCCUGCCCCGCCAUAGGGCCAGUGGCUGAUUCCAGACAGACUGGCCAUGCAGGCCUGGCCGCCUGGGCUCUCCCCGUUCCCUCUUGGGGCAGGCCUCCCUCUGCCCACCCCCCCACACUCACAUUCCUCCCACAGGUCACCUCUGGGAAAGUGCCUCAGCCACAGGCUCCUCUCCGUCAUCCCAGGCAGAUUUGCUUUCCCUGUCCCAUUGCCUUUAGGUUUUGGGGCCCCACUGCCACCCGAGGUCAGGGAAGCCUUUACACCAGCCCAGGGCCUGGCUCUUGGUGGAGUCUCAGCAGCCGCUUCCCAUCCAGAGGGGCUCCCUGUGCCCCUGCCCUGAUUCCCUCCCACUGAUAAGAUCGGCCUCAGACCCCAUGAUCUUGCUCCGCCCGGGUUCAGAACCUCUGAUCUAGGAUUUACCUGUAGCAGCCUCUUUUAGGUCCUCGUCUCUCCCUCCCCGCAGCAGCUGAGGUGUCCAGGCAGACUGCUCAGCAGUGAGACCUGUAUGAGCAAAGGCCCUGGGGCAGGAGAAAGCGUGGUGUGGUAGGAAGCAAGAGGGAAGGCCGAGGAAUGGGCUGUGAUGGGAGAGAAGGUGGCAGAGGAGACUGGUAAGGAUGGUGUCAGGAGGAGGGCUCUGAAAGGGACCCAGCAGGUUUUAAAAAAUCCAUCAGAGUCCUGGGUUUUUCCUAGACAUGUGACAACCAACUUAGAUCCUAAACAUCACCUCCUCCGGGUCAUCUUUCCCUCAAUAUUGGUCACAAUGCUUUUCCUUAAAGAGUCAAGAACAGAAGGUUUGUUUAUAGGUACCAAGGAGCUAGAAGCAGCCUCUGGGGACACUGGCCAAGCUCAGGAAGGCUGUGACUCCGGGUCUCAGUAUGUUCUGAACACCCCUGUGCCCAGGAUGGGCUUGUACCCUCCCGAGCAGGCGCUGGUGGGAGAGCAAAGGGGUUUGAGGACAAGGUCAGUACAUUAAGGUGAGAUAAGGGCCAAUAGAAUGAGAGCGUCCCAGGGAACCAGUGUCCCAGAAGCAAGGCACAGAGGCAGGUGUGUUGCUUCAGAGGUGCUGCCGUGAUUUUCUGCAGAUUUUAGGGUGACUUCCUGUAGGGCGCCCUUUAGCGUGGGCCUCAUUCAGCUGAGUGUGGAACCCAGCCCACGGCUUGCUGGCUGUGAGACUGGGGCGGGGCACGGACCUCCCUGCCUCAGUUUCCUCUACUGCAGGUGAGGCUGACAGUGGAGAGUGAGUGAACUGGUCUUGCAGGACAAGGCUGGCAGCCAACCUCAAAGGUGGACAUCCUUGGCUUGGCAGAUGCUGGCAGAUGCUCGACAGCCGGAGGUGAACCCUGUGCAGGUCCACUGGGGCAGUGGGAAGGGGCCGCCAUGUCAGGGAUCUCUGUUGUCUUGCUUGCAUCCAUGUGGUGAAUUUAGGGCUUCCAAAAAUCCUCUUGAGGCUUUUUAUAUAUUCUUCACCAUGGAUAGUCUAAACUCCCCAAGCCCCCAGCCCAAACAAAAUCAUUUCUGCUGUAUAUUUUUCCUAAAUCAAACUCACUAGCAGCGGAGGAGAACCAGUUGCGUGAUUGCAGCCUCUGGGGCUCCCCACAAACCUGUCCCAUCAGGAGUGACACCUAGGAAGUCCUUUACCCUUUGUAGGUUCAGCCACACUGAACCCAGGGGUCACCUGCCACAGUGUCCAGUUCUUCCUGCUGGUAGGACUCCCCACAGUGCCGUUGAUUCCUGCCAUCUUACUGUAUGUUCCAAAGAUUGAAAAUUUGGUGAUUAAUUAUUUCUGUGGCUUGAAUUAAUGGGGCUCUUCACUGGAUCAGGGCCAAUCUCUUUGUUGUUCUUUUUCUUUCUCCUUCUGAAGCCUUUCCUCUUCCGUCCUGUAAAACUGAUCUUGUAUUAGAAACAAGCUAAAUGGAUCAGCACAGGACUCCUGAGCACUGGCUCAUCACGGGCCACAGGGGGUCACCAUCAAGAAGAAUGCCUAACUCAGUCCUCAGCUUGGAUAGACGGGAAGUCUGGAACGUUCUCACUCACACUUCUCAGGUUGAAGCUUGCUGAGGACUUCUACAGUGCCUAGCAAGGCCAUAGACAGCGUGAUGAGAAGUGACACUCAAGUCCUGACCCAUGAAUUGGCAGGGCAUGGUCCUAGCACACACAGCAGGAUUGCCCAGGCAGGAAUAUGAGAGGACAGUAGCACUGUGGUUAGCGCAGAGAUUCUAGGGCUGGCCAUCUGGGUCCUCAUCCUAUCUCUGUACUUCCUAGCUGUGUGACCUCAGGUGAGUCAGUUAACCUCUCUGGGCCUCCGUUUCUAAAUGGGUAUCUCAAUAAAUGUCCAUCUCAAAUACAUUAGUGUAAAGUGCUCCGAAAUUGUGCCUGGCACUUAGACAACAUUAUGUGAGAGGUAUUAUCAUAGGACAAGAGCUUUGGCAAUAUCAAAUGCUACUUGUAACAUAGAUGGUUUUGGAAGUACAUGUGUGUCUGCAGCUUUGUUGGCACCGUUGGACCUGGGACUAGCCAGCCCCCUGGGAAACAGACAACCUUGCAUCCCCCACUUCCACAAAAGACCAUUGGACCAACCUCCCUUCUCCCUUCACAUCCUA
rnacentral:lncRNA from 1 species